GAUGAACGCUGGCGGCGUGCCUAACACAUGCAAGUCGAACGCGCAGCACCCUUCGGGGUGUGGGCAAGUGGCGGACGGGUGCCGUAACACGUAGGAACCUGGCCUGGAGUGGGGGACAACGGCUGGAAACGGUCGCUAAUCCCGCAUGAGCUCGUCCCGAAAGGGAUGAGGAAAGCUUUAGUGCUCCAGGAUGGGCCUGCGGCCUAUCAGGUAGUUGGUAGGGUAACGGCCUACCAAGCCGACGACGGGUA
rnacentral:rRNA from 1 species